rnacentral:rRNA from 1 species
GAUUAUGGCUCAGGAUGAACGCUAGCUACAGGCUUAACACAUGCAAGUCGAGGGGCAGCAUUGGGAUAGCUUGCUAUUCAGAUGGCGACCGGCGCACGGGUGAGUAACGCGUAUCCAACCUUCCUGCCAGCAGGGAACAGCCCGGCGAAAGUCGGAUUAAUGCCCUAUGUUCUUCAAUGCGGACAUCUAAGUUGAAGGAAAGAUUCAUCGCUGGCAGAUGGGGAUGCGUCCGAUUAGCUUGCCGGCGGGGUAACGGCCCACCGGGGCGACGAUCGGUAGGGGUUCUGAGAGGAAGGUCCCCCACACUGGUACUGAGACACGGACCAGACUCCUACGGGAGGCAGCAGUGAGGAAUAUUGGUCAAUGGGCGUAAGCCUGAACCAGCCAAGUAGCGUGCCAGGACGACGGCCCUACGGGUUGUAAACUGCUUUUAUGCGGGGAUAAAGUGCGGCACGUGUGCCGCUUUGCAGGUACCGCAUGAAUAAGGACCGGCUAAUUCCGUGCCAGCAGCCGC